AGCGGCUAUUCAAGUCAGAGGUGAAAGCCCGGGGCUCAACCCCGGAACUGCCUUUGAAACUAGAUAGCUUGAAUCCAGGAGAGGUGAGUGGAAUUCCGAGUGUAGAGGUGAAAUUCAUAUAUAUUCGGAAGAACACCAUUGGCGAAGGCGGCUCACUGGACUGGUAUUGACGCUGAGGUGCGAAAGCGUGGGGAGCAAACAGGAUUAAAUACCCUGGUAGUCCACGCCAUAAACG
rnacentral:rRNA from 1 species